rnacentral:rRNA from 1 species
GACGAACGCUGGCGGCGUGCCUAAUACAUGCAAGUCGAACGAGAGCGACCGGUGCUUGCACUGGUCAAUCUAGUGGCGAACGGGUGAGUAACACGUGGGUAACCUGCCCAUCAGAGGGGGAUAACAUCCGGAAACGGAUGCUAAAACCGCAUAGGUCUUCGAACCGCAUGGUUUGAAGAGGAAAAGAGGCGCAAGCUUCUGCUGAUGGAUGGACCCACGGUGCAUUAGCUAGUUGGUGAGGUAACGGCUCACCAAGGCCGUGAUGCAUAGCCGACCUGAGAGGGUGAUCGGCCACAUUGGGACUGAGACACGGCCCAAACUCCUACGGGAGGCAGCAGUAGGGAAUCUUCCGCAAUGGACGCAAGUCUGACGGAGCAACGCCGCGUGAGUGAAGAAGGUUUUCGGAUCGUAAAACUCUGUUGUUAGAGAAGAACAAGUGCUAGAGUAACUGUUAGCGCCUUGACGGUAUCUAACCAGAAAGCCACGGCUAACUACGUG